rnacentral:rRNA from 1 species
AUUGAACGCUGGCGGCAGGCCUAACACAUGCAAGUCGAACGGCAGCACAGAAGAGCUUGCUCUUUGGGUGGCGAGUGGCGGACGGGUGAGUAAUGUCUGGGAAACUGCCCGAUGGAGGGGGAUAACUACUGGAAACGGUAGCUAAUACCGCAUAACGUCGCGAGACCAAAGUGGGGGACCUUCGGGCCUCACACCAUCGGAUGUGCCCAGAUGGGAUUAGCUAGUAGGUGGGGUAAUGGCUCACCUAGGCGACGAUCCCUAGCUGGUCUGAGAGGAUGACCAGCCACACUGGAACUGAGACACGGUCCAGACUACUACGGGAGGCAGCAGUGGGGAAUAUUGCACAAUGGGCGCAAGCCUGAUGCAGCCAUGCCGCGUGUAUGAAGAAGGCCUUCGGGUUGUAAAGUACUUUCAGCGGGGAGGAAGGCGGUGAGGUUAAUAACCUCGCCGAUUGACGUUACCCGCAGAAGAAGCACCGGCUAACUCCGUGCCAGCCGCCGCGGUAA